rnacentral:lncRNA from 1 species
CUAGUAGAAGCAUGUCGCGACCUCUUCCUCCCGCCCUUCAUUCUCGCUAUCUGUGCAAAACAAACAAAUUUAACAAUACUUGUCAUAAUAAGUAAAGCAUUUUCACAUAUGAGCAUAUCAUUUGAGUCAUUUUUCUACUUAAUCCGGAAAUUUCCAAGCAAUCAUUUAGCAACUAACGAUAUCAGAAGAAUAAUAUAGAGAAUUAACAAAAAGGACAACUUGUAAGUUCUAACUCAACCGUCAUUUCUAUAUCAAGACUCUAAAACCUCUAAUUAUUUUGAAGUACCAAAAUAGCAACAUUGCAUGUGAAUGUGAUUAACAAUUUCUAGCUGUGUUAAGGUCAAUUUAAGAACUAAUCCACUACCAAGCAUUGUGCAAAAACUUGCAAAGCAACCAUCAUCACUAGCAAACAAAAACAAGAAACAACUUUCCUAAUUACAAAACAUGAAGAAUAUGAAACUCAAAUCUAUCUUGAUCUUUUCCAAUUCUCAACAAAUCA